rnacentral:lncRNA from 1 species
GGUCACUGAGAUGAGGCCAGGGUGCUGGUCGGCUGGGAAGAAGGUUUGAGAGUCUCAAGCCCUGCAGGCAGAUCACGUGGUAAACGAACGGGUACCAGCCAACAAAGAGACAUGGCAACUAGCAGGUGUUCCACGUAUAUGCAGGUGCCUGAGGCGGUCAGAGCAAUUCUCUGGAGCUGGAGUUACAGGCAGUUGUGAGCCACUUGGUGUGGGCUCUGGAAACUGAAACCGUGGUCCUCUGGAAGAGCAUCGUGAGCUCUUAGCCUCUGAGUCAUCUCUCCAGCCCCACAAGCAUCGAACAUUAAUUUAACCAAGCAUGGUUCAUCAAAAAUGUAGUAGAAGUAGAGACAGGGGAAGGCUCUAGCAGGAAGGAGGUGUGGCCCAGAUCAAAGGUGUGUACCAUCACACUUGGAUCUGGGACUUGCUUUGUCCCAGGCUGACCUUGAACUCAGAGAUCUCCUUGCCAUAGUCUCCUAGGAUUACAGGCAUGUACCUUGCCUGGGCCUAAGCUUUUCAUGGCCACUGUGCCUCAAGAUCUCCAUGUCAAGAUCCAGGUCAGAAAGUUGUGUCUUCCAGCCUCAAGAUCUGGAUCACAGGUGAACCCUCCAAUUGUGGAUUGUAGUUCAUUCCAGAUAGAGUCAGGUUGACAACCAGGCAGAGCCACUACACGCCUU